rnacentral:misc_RNA from 1 species
AAAAUUUAUUGUAGCAUAACAUGCCUGUCACAUACCGUUAUAGUGACAAUCAAAUCAGGAAAUGCGAUUGUGCAGAGAUGAGCAUGAAGUCGAUUCUCAAGAUUUGGAGUAGUGUAUUUUAAUAUGAUGCACGGCUGUGAUUAAGCUGUCCUUGCAGGAUGUUACCUAAGAUCCUGAUUUUCUCAGUCAUUGAGAAAAAUUAAGGCUACCCAUCCUAAUUCAUGCUGCCUGCUUUUUGUAUCACAACGUGCAUUACAGCUUUAUUCCCCAGCCAAAUAUUCAGGCUAUGCUUUCUUCCAAUAUUUAUAUUUUUUGCUAGGUAGAUUCAUGGCUACUAUCUGUUCUAUGCAUAUACUUGCAGUUGCAGGUGGCAGUUUUUUCAUUUACUUUCAUUUAGCUUCUCUCUGCUAAUCAGUGUUAGCCGGGAGAAAGGUGAAAUCAAAUUCUUCUUCUUUUGUUGCUUGCAAGGAGAGUUACCCUUGUAGAACUUCUCGUCACUUGUCAUUUGAUUUUUAAACAGUUACAUUUCUUUUUGUUAUUGAUGUUUUAGUAUCUUAUCAUUUUUGCUGCCAUCGGCUGAAUCACUUUUCUCAACAGUGUCGUUUGAUCCUGAAACACUUUGUUCUCCAUUUGCUAUUCAAUAUUAACUGUCAGAUCAUUGCUAUUACUCAUUUUGUUCACCAAUAUCAUUCGAUUCUAAUUUUCCAAGACACUUCUAAACCAGUCACCCACCGAAGAAGAACAUUACCAUAUGAAUUCUAAACUUCCUACCAAAAGAAAAGAAAAAGAAACUCCCUUUACAGUUGGUGUCAAUUUUUUCUGUUACUAGAUCUGGAUUUGGUUUUUAUUUUAGCAACACAGAUCCAAGAACAAUUUAUUUCUGCUAAGUAUUUUUCUUUGUAUUUCAUUUUUCACUUCUGUCCUACUGUCCCCUUUUGAUCUCCAAAGAGUUGAAACCUUUGAGGGUCUUUCAAUUUCCCAUCUAAUUCUUGAAAUCACUAUAGUUUAAUUUUUCUUUGUUAUU